AUGGGUCCGGCACUACCGUCUGUCCAAGCGGCACUACCGCUUAAGCGGUACUACCGCCCGAUGUCCGGUACUACCGCCCUGCCUGUGCGCAGAGUACGGGCCAACGGCCCAUAUAUCCCCCCUCUCACUUACCCCUUCGUGGCUCAUUUGAGAGAUAGAGCUACGCUCAUCCAUAUCGGAUCUACUCCACGAGAGAUAUUGCGUUUGGAUCUUGUAUCUUCCUUUGUGUCCAUGGAUCUAGCGCAUGUAUCAGAGGUCCUGCGCCAGUAUGGAUUUGGCUGCCACUUCCUGGACUGGUUGGCCAUUCUCCUUUCAUCGGCCAGCACCAAGGUACUCCUGAACGGCAAGCCCGACCCGACCAUUUGGCACCGCUAUGGGUUUCGACAGGGUGAUCCCCUCUCGCCCCAACUAUUCGUCCUCGCAGUCGACACGCUUAGUCGUCUCUUCCGCUGA
rnacentral:rRNA from 1 species